rnacentral:rRNA from 1 species
GAUGAACGCUGGCGGCGUGCUUAACACAUGCAAGUCGAACGGAAAGGCCCUGCUUUUGUUGGGUGCUCGAGUGGCGAACGGGUGAGUAACACGUGAGUAACCUGCCCUUCACUUUGGGAUAACUUCAGGAAACUGGGGCUAAUACCGGAUAGGAGCUCCUGCUGCAUGGUGGGGGUGGGAAAGUUUCGGCGGUUGGGGAUGGUCUCGCGGCUUGUCAGCUUGUUGGGGGGGUUGGCGCUUAACAAGGUUGUGACGGAUACCCGGCCUGAGAGGGUGACCGGCCACAUUGAGACUGAGAUACGGCCCAGACUCCUACGGGAGGCAGGAGGGGGGAAUAUUGCACAAUGGGCGGAAGCCAGGUGCAGAAGCGCCGCGUGCGGGAUGAGGGCCUGCGGGUUAAAAACCUCUUUCGCCGGUGACGGAGCGUUAGUGACGGUAAUGGGUAAAGAAGCACCGGCUAACUACGUG